UGCUCAACUGAUGACUGAUGACCGAUGAU
rnacentral:piRNA from 1 species